rnacentral:rRNA from 1 species
GACGAACGCUGGCGGCGUGCCUAACACAUGCAAGUCGAACGAAGUGGCGAACGGGUGAGUAAUACGUGAGUAACCUGCCGUCCUUUUUGGGAUAAGCCUUGGAAACGGGGUCUAAUACCGGAUAAAGGGGGAUGGGCUCGCGGCCUAUUAGCUUGUUGGUGGGGUGAUGACCUACCAAGGCGGUGACGGGUAGACGGCCUGAGAGGGUAGCCGGCGACGUAGGGACGGGAAAGCGGCCCAGACUACGAAGUAGUGGAGCAGUGUGGGAUAUUGCACAAAGGUCGAAAGACUCAUGCAGCGAGUCCGCGUGGGGGAUGAGGGUUUUAAGGUUGUAAACCUCUUUCGCUAUCGAACGGGUAGGUAGAGAGGAAGCGCCGGCUAACUACGUGCCAGCAGCCGCGGUAAUUC